rnacentral:rRNA from 1 species
GACGAACCGUGCGAACGUUAUUCGGAAUCACUGGGCUUAAAGCGCGUGUAGGCGGCCCGGCACGUCCGUCGCUGAAAGCCCCCGGCUCAACCGGGGAAGGGGCGCGGAUACGACCGGGCUGGAGGGGGGUAGGGGGCGCCGGAACGGCCGGUGGAGCGGUGAAAUGCGUUGAUAUCGGAAGGAACGCCGGUGGCGAAAGCGACGUGCUGGACCUCUUCUGACGCUGAGGCGCGAAAGCCAGGGGAGCGAACGGG